rnacentral:tRNA from 1 species
AUCUAAAUAGCUUAAUUAGAAGAGUGUAAUAUUGAAGAUGUUAAGGUGGUAUAAUGACUUUUAGAUA